rnacentral:rRNA from 1 species
AGUGAACGCUGGCGGUAGGCCUAACACAUGCAAGUCGAACGGCAGCACAGUAAGAGCUUGCUCUUACGGGUGGCGAGUGGCGGACGGGUGAGGAAUACAUCGGAAUCUACUUUUUCGUGGGGGAUAACGUAGGGAAACUUACGCUAAUACCGCAUACAACCUACGGGUGAAAGCAGGGGAUCUUCGGACCUUGCGCGAUUGAAUGAGCCGAUGUCGGAUUAGCUAGUUGGCGGGGUAGAGGCCCACCAAGGCGACGAUCCGUAGCUGGUCUGAGAGGAUGAGCAGCCACACUGGACGAGAGACCCGCUCCACACUCCGCGGGGAGGAAGCGGUGGGGAUUUUUGGAAAGUGGCGGAAGGCCUGACCCACCCAUCCGGGGUGGUGGAAAAAGGCCUCGGGUUUGUAAAGCCCUUUUUUGGGGAAAAAAAAGCAGCAGGUUACACCCCCGCUUUUAGGACGGUCCCAAAAGAAAAAGCCCCGGCUAACUUCGUG